GUGUGCGUUUCACAACACACAGAAGUGAACGGGCCCUAAUACACCAUUGAAUAAACCUAUAUGUCCAGUUUGAUUGUUGAAUUUGACCAAAUAAAAGUGACAAACCUUUUUUUUGUUGUUGUUGUUGUUUCUUCCGUAAACCAUCAAAAAACAACCUUAGGCAAGUUGCGUUGUGCAAUGCUAAAGCGACACUAAAUCUGGGCAGUAAGGGGUUAAAGUUGAAGAGGUGUGGCUGUGUCAGCUGACCUUUAACUUCCUAAUCAACCAUGCAGCUUUCUUUUUUUUUUUUUAAUCCUUACUUUAUUUUAUUUCCCCUUCUCUGAAGCUGUCCAGGAACAGCGACACAUCCAAACCCCGAUUGCAAAAGAAAAAUAGUUAUUUUAAACUUUUUGAGAGUUUGUAAGCUUUGUCAGUUUGGUACUGUCACAAAUAAAGUUGGGUGAAAAAAAAUGUCUGCUUUACAUAUAAAUACUCCCACUUGUGAAACAGUCUCUCUCUUUUGGCCUACAGAUGUGAGCACGUGGCUUCCUGCCGCCAUGUUGGUUUGGAGCUCCAGGAGAGUAAUCAUCAUGACUUAAGGAAUAUUCUCCGGAUGACGGCACUCCUACGUUCAACUCUUGUCCUUGCUGUUCCCCUAUAUCAGGAGGCAGGACACCUGCGUGAGGGCUGUUAUUGCUCCAGAGCAAAGACUUUUAGCCACCUUGAGAAGUCUCGGAUAUAUUCGAUUUCCUCCAAACCCCCAGCAGUGGCAGAAUGUGGCAGCCCAGCUUGAGAAUGUGGCAUUUCCCCAACUGUGGUGGUGCGAUUCAUGGGAAGAAGGUCUGGAUUGUCCCACCACCCAACUUGGGCUCGUAUUUUUAGAACUACAAAAGCUUUUGCAGCAUAGUUUUUUUUUUUAUUUUUUU